GACGAACGCUGGCGGCGUGCUUAACACAUGCAAGUCGAACGGAAAGGCCCUGCUUUUGUGGGGUGCUCGAAUGGCGAACGGGUGAGUAACACGUGAGUAACCUGCCCUUGACUUUGGGAUAACUUCAGGAAACUGGGGCUAAUACCGGAUAGGAGCUCCUGCUGCCUGGUGGGGGUUGGAAAGUUUCGGCGGUUGGGGAUGGACUCGCGGCUUAUCAGCUUGUUGGUGGGGUAGUGGCUUACCAAGGCUUUGACGGGUAGCCGGCCUGAGAGGGUGACCGGGCACAUUGGGACUGAGAUACGGCCCAGACUCCUACGGGAGGCAGCAGUGGGGAAUAUUGCACAAUGGGCGGAAGCCUGAUGCAGCAACGCCGCGUGCGGGAUGACGGCCUUCGGGUUGUAAACCGCUUUCGCCUGUGACGAAGCGUGAGUGACGGUAAUGGGUAAAGAAGCACCGGCUAACUACGUG
rnacentral:rRNA from 1 species